rnacentral:rRNA from 1 species
AUUGAACGCUGGCGGCAGGCCUAACACAUGCAAGUCGAGCGGAUGAAGGGAGCUUGCUCUCUGAUUCAGCGGCGGACGGGUGAGUAAUGCCUAGGAAUCUGCCUGGUAGUGGGGGACAACGUUUCGAAAGGAACGCUAAUACCGCAUACGUCCUACGGGAGAAAGCAGGGGACCUUCGGGCCUUGCGCUAUCAGAUGAGCCUAGGUCGGAUUAGCUAGUUGGUGAGGUAAUGGCUCACCAAGGCGACGAUCCGUAACUGGUCUGAGAGGAUGAUCAGUCACACUGGAACUGAGACACGGUCCAGACUCCUACGGGAGGCAGCAGUGGGGAAUAUUGGACAAUGGGCGAAAGCCUGAUCCAGCCAUGCCGCGUGUGUGAAGAAGGUCUUCGGAUUGUAAAGCACUUUAAGUUGGGAGGAAGGGUUGCUGAUUAAUACUCUGCAAUUUUGACGUUACCGACAGAAUAAGCACCGGCUAACUCUGUGCCAGCCGCCGCGGUAACAC